rnacentral:lncRNA from 10 species
GAAGAAGAAACUGAAGGGGAGGGAGUGGACCAGGCACGAACUGGAGCAUCAAGCUUGUAUAUCAAUAUCAAAGGGAAAGUGGGGCCUGGUCCACGGAGGUCCCUCCGGAGCAGCUGAAGAUUUCAAAACAAGAUAAUGGUGAUGGGGGUGGGAUGGCCUGGGGGCACAAAAGGAAUAGGUGAAACUGGAUGUAAAGUGUGCGAGUCUGUAUUUUUAACAAGCACCCAGGUGAUUUGGGGAUAAAGCCUAAGUAGAAGAUCUUGCUUAUAUGAGAAUAUUGGGCUAGAAGAAAACGCUGUAGUUUUCCAGUGAAAACCUCAGCUGCCCUUGACAUGCUAAUUUGUAUCUGAAUUUAAAAGGAGCUUAUUAUGAAUGAUGAAGAUGCUCUUCUUAUACCUAUCCUUCAGGAAUUUACAAGGGUUUUAAGAGCUCAAUGCCAGGAACCAGAGAUGAAGACCAAAUAUGUAUUUCUUAGUGUAUCAUCAUAUCACAAAGUGUUCUAGGGUCUUAGAGAAAGAGGGUAGCUCUGUGGCACCAGUGCACUCCAGCCUGGCUGACAGAGUGAGACCCCAUCUCUAAAACAAUUUAAAAUUAAAAUUAAAAAAAAGAAAAUGUUGUUUACAAUUCUUAGCAUCCCCCAAAUGAGACUUAUACCAUUCGGUGGGCACAGAUCGACAGUAACACCAACAUGACCUCUGGGUCAGCUGUUAAAUCAAAAGUUCUAAGGUCACUUUAAAUAACUGAAUCUAAUCCUUAUUUAUGGAGGAACUGCCUGAGGGCAGUCAGCCCAGACUCUCCUGUUUGUUCAUGUCACCAGCAGGGUGACAUUGUCAACCCCAUGGAAUGACUGAGCAAUAGCGAUAGGAAUAAGGCUGAGGAAGACAUCUGGAGGUAUUGACAGGGAUUUGCAUGGGAGGUGCAGGAGCUGGGGCUAUCCCCUGCUGUUUUGGAUAGGCUUCUUGGUAAGAUUAAGAGGAGUGAUGAUCAAACUGUGGUCACAGCCAUCUGGCAAGAGAUUUUCUGUUGGUAAUUUUUUUUUUUUCAAGAUAGGCUCUCACUUUGUCACCCAGGCUGGAGUGCACUGCCAGGAACACGGCUCACUGCAGCCUCAACCUCCUGGGCUCCAGUGAUGCUCCCACCUCAGUCCCCAAGUUGCUGUCUAAGUAGUAUGAUAGUGACAUCUACUGUAAUAGCUUGUAUUAUUACAAUCUUUGAGGAAGCUGCAGUUUAGAUAAUUUAGCACAAUCAUCAGGAAGAAUUUAACAGUCCAGCAUGGCCAACAUGGUGAAACCCAGUCUCUACUAAAAAUAAGAAUAUGGUAUAUGUGGUAAAUCAUAGUUUGUACUUUCUUAAAAAUGUAAUCAUUAGAGCAGAUAUUUUUGAGGUGACAUUGUGUACAUUGACACAGAUCCUCUUGUAAAUAGGCAUACGGAGAUCUUGAAGUUCUGGGUUAUGCAACAUUACGUUUAUAAAUUUGACACCAGGUGAUUCUACACUCUGAAGUACUUCUAUGGGUAAACAUGCAACAUUUUAGAAUGUUCGUAGCAAAUGGUUCUGUUUACAAGAUGCUUGCCAAAUUUUAUGAGAAUGAUUUGUCCCUUUUGAAGGAAUGGGUGAAUUUUGGAGACAUAGGCAAGUAUAUGUAUAAACCUCAAGUUAAACAUGUUGAAGAUUUAGGACUUACAUCAUUAUUUCUGAAAUUGUUCUGAUUUUUAGGUUUGAGACCACUCAGCAUAGGAUUGUCAUUUAAAUUUAGCUCUUCUGUCACCUUUCCUGGCUCAUAUUGGCUCUUGUUUAAACUGUUAACAAGCCAGGCUUGUGGCUCACACCUGUAAUCCCUCCUGCUUGAGGGGCCAAGGCAAGAGGAUCGCUUGAGCCCAGAUGUUCAAAGCUGCAAUGCACUGUGAUUGCACCACUGCAUUCCAACAUGGGCAGUAGAGUGAGACUCUCUCUUAAAAAAAAAAAAAAAAUGCGCGCGCACACACACACACACACACACACACACACACACAUUUUUUUUUUAAGGAAAAAAAACCAUUACAGGAAUUUCUUAAUUUGUCUUCCAGUUUCCCCUCCUAGCUGUUGAGCAUGUAGUCAUCAGAAUACUUGUCCUGAGCCCUGUUUCGACUGUGUUAUGUCCCUGUCUAGAGUGUGGCUUCAGAGGCUGUGUAUCUGCAAUCUGGCAUCCCACUUUCCUAGCCUAAGCUCCCCUACUUCUCGGCCUGCUGCUUCCAUCAGUCUGGACUUCUCACCAUUCUCUGGAUGCCUACUGCUUUUCCACCUCUUAUCAUGACUCAUAAUAUGCCCCAUGGCAACGAUAUGCUUUCUUCCCAUGUAAUCAUCCUUGUAAAACCAUUUCUGUCCUUCAUCGCCCUACUCAUGAGCCUUUGGGCUUUCUUGAUUGGGUAGCUGCUAGUGAUCCCUUUUUCCUUUCUCUCUCUCUGUCUGCAACCUGGCAAUCUCAGCUGGCACUGACCUCAGAUUGCUUUGUAUUUAGUAAUUUAUAUAUUUUUGGAUCUUUCCAAUGAGAUUUUAAGCAAUGUGUGAAGGUAGUGAUUUUGUCUUGUAUGAUUUUGAAUCCCACCCAGGGCCUAGAGGCAGACAUGGAAUAAGGAAGAGAACGCUGGACUCCAAAGUCAGGACAACAUGUUUCUAGUCACAGCUCUGCCGUUAACUGGUUGACCAUCUUCAGGUAUGGGAUUUCUGAACGUUUCAAAUUUCAAUCAAUGAGCACUGUCAACACCCACAGGAGAGAAUAAAAUUACCUGUGCAAAGGUGUAUUGUGGUGUGUGUAACUUAAGAUUACAGUUCUGUUUGAGAGUUAAAUGAUGUCAUAGCUCACUUGCUAUGCUGCUUCCAGGAUUUUGUUAUAUGCUGAGGUGUAACCAUUUGUGUUGUCUGACUUUCGUAUGAUUUAAUUGAGCCAAAUUUGGGUCAGAACACAAAUUUGAAGAUGACUUUUCAGUAUAUGAUGGGUAUUUACAUUUGAACACUAGAAUUUUAGGUCUCUCAAAUAAUUAAGAAUAGAGCCAGUUUUGAAUAAAGUCUAGCAGAACUAUGCAGCUUUAGUCAUUUGUUUUGUCUAAGUCUGUAUUUUAUGUGUUGUCUUCUUAAGAUCUAUAAUUUUGGCAUUUAUGUCAUUUGUGACAUAGUCUGAAAAUAGAGACAUUGUUGGCCUUUAAAAUCUCAGAAAUGAAUGACUUAAUUUAGUGUCCUGAAAGAGCUUUUAAAAGAGGAUUUUGUGGCAAUGUUUCUCUUACUACGUACUCACAGGUUUGCAAAUGGGAAAAAAGUUUACAUUUCAGUUUAGGGGCAUAUCUAAGCUAUGCUAUUCCCUUUAGAAAAUUAGCCUCCAAAAUCUUUUGUUUCAAAAUAUUAUAUUAUUUCAUAAAUAAUUUCAAGCAAAUACAGACAUCCACAAUGUAGAACAUGAGAGACCCCCUCCCUCAAUUUCCACCUCCCAAGGGAAGUUUAUGUAUUUUUCUAGGCCCUUUUCUAUGUCUUUACAUCUCUGUCUCACACACACACACGUAUACACACACACAGUUUAUUUUUAAUAAAAUAGGAUUAUACCACACACAUCCUGUCACUUGCUUUUUUGCUUAAGAGUAUAUCUAAGAGAAUCCUUUGUGUCAGUGAAGCUGGAGCUACCUCAUUCUUUUAACUGGCUGCGUGGCGUUCCAUUGAGUGUCUGUCAUCAUGUGUUUAGCCGAGUGGAUGGAUAGUCUGCUUGUUUUUAGUUUUUGCUCUUAACAAACACUGCUGCAGUCAGCAUCCUUGCACAGAUUUCUUUGUAUACUUGUAUUAGUAUUUCUGUAAGAUCUGAGAAGUGGAAUUUGUAGGGUCAUAGGUUAUGUACACUUAAGUUUUUGACACUCACUGCCAAGUCAUCUGUC